rnacentral:sRNA from 1 species
UGGCUACAUACUAUUAUUGCCCACAUACAGUAAAACCUCUAUAAAUUAAUACUCGAUAAAUUAAUAACCUCUAUAAAUUAAUAAAUUCUUCCGGUCCCGAGUUGGGACCACUAUAAAAAUUGAUACAAAUCGAUAAAUUAAUAAGAUAAUAAUUAUUUUGAAA